GAUGAACGCUGGCGGCGUGCCUAAUACAUGCAAGUCGAGCGAACAGAUAAGGAGCUUGCUCCUUUGACGUUAGCGGCGGACGGGUGAGUAACACGUGGGUAACCUACCUAUAAGACUGGAAUAACUCCGGGAAACCGGGGCUAAUGCCGGAUAACAUUUAGAACCGCAUGGUUCUAAAGUGAAAGAUGGUUUUGCUAUCACUUAUAGAUGGACCCGCGCCGUAUUAGCUAGUUGGUAAGGUAACGGCUUACCAAGGCAACGAUACGUAGCCGACCUGAGAGGGUGAUCGGCCAAACUGGAACUGAGACACGGUCCAGACUCCUACGGGAGGCAGCAGUAGGGAAUCUUCCGCAAAGGGCGAAAGCCUGACGGAGCAACGCCGCGUGAGUGAUGAAGGUCUUCGGAUCGUAAAACUCUGUUAUUAGGGAAGAACAAAUGUGUAAGUAACUGUGCACGUCUUGACGGUACCUAAUCAGAAAGCCACGGCUAACUACGUG
rnacentral:rRNA from 1 species